AAUGAACGCUGGCGGCGCGCCUAAUACAUGCAAGUCGAGCGAGAAGACGUAGCAAUACGUUUGUAAAGCGGCGAACGGGUGAGGAAUACAUGGGUAACCUACCCUCGAGUGGGGAAGUAACUAGCCGAAAGGUUAGCUAAUACCGCGUACGCUCCUUGGACUUCGGUUCAGGGAGGAAAGACGAUACCGUGGGUAUCGCGCUCUUGGUUGGGCUCAUGUCCUAUCAGCUUGUUGGUGAGGAACGGCUCACCAAGGCUUCGACGGGUAGCUGGUCUGAGAGGACGAUCAGCCACACUGGCACUGCGACACGGGCCAGACUCCUACGGGAGGCAGCAGUAAGGAAUAUUGCGCAAUGGGCGAAAGCCUGACGCAGCGACGCCGCGUGGGGGAG
rnacentral:rRNA from 1 species